rnacentral:rRNA from 1 species
UACGUAGGGUGCGAGCGUUAAUCGGAAUUACUGGGCGUAAAGCGUGCGCAGGCGGUUUUGUAAGCCAGAUGUGAAAUCCCCGGGCUUAACCUGGGAAUGGCAUUUGGGACUGCAAGGCUGGAGUGCGGCAGAGGAGACUGGAAUUCCUGGUGUAGCAGUGAAAUGCGUAGAUAUCGUAAGGAAGACCAGUGGCGAAGGCGGGUCUCUGGACAGUUCCUGACGCUGAGGCACGAAGGUCAGGGGAGCAAACGGG